GCUCAUGUAUUGAGUUCUGGGUAAGAACAUCUUGAACCACACCACACCAGUCUCUCAUGGAUAUGGUCCAUUCUCCUCCACUCCCAAGGAUGCUUCCAGAGUUCUCCAUGUGUUUCCAAGAAGAGCGAAAAAUGUACACGUCUCUGGUGUAGCACUGUAGCCCACAACAUACUUCCAAGACAUGCUUUCAAACACACCUUCAGUGUUGUUGUCAUUCGAAGACGUGGCUGUGGACCUCACCCAGGAGGAAUGGCAGCACAUGAACAAUGCUCAGAAAACUCUGUACAAGGAUGUGAUGCUUGAAACAUAU